CUACUUCCCAUUUCAGCCAGGCUGGGAGACCCAGGAAGCUCCAGACUUAGCAUGGAGCACGGACUCAGGAGCAUCCCAGCCUGGACGCUGGACAAGUUCAUAGAGGAUUACCUCCUUCCCGACACCACCUUUGGUGCUGAUGUCAAAUCAGCCGUCAAUGUCGUGUGUGAUUUCCUGAAGGAGAGAUGCUUCCAAGGUGCUGCCCACCCAGUGAGGGUCUCCAAGGUGGUGAAGGGUGGCUCCUCAGGCAAAGGCACCACACUCAAGGGCAGGUCAGACGCUGACCUGGUGGUGUUCCUUAACAAUCUCACCAGCUUUGAGGAUCAGUUAAACCGACGGGGAGAGUUCAUCAAGGAAAUUAAGAAACAGCUGUACGAGGUUCAGCAUGAGAGACGUUUUAGAGUCAAGUUUGAGGUCCAGAGUUCAUGGUGGCCCAACGCCCGGUCUCUGAGCUUCAAGCUGAGCGCCCCCCAUCUGCAUCAGGAGGUGGAGUUUGAUGUGCUUCCAGCCUUUGAUGUCCUGGGUCAUGGUAGUAUCAAUAAGAAGCCUAAUCCCUUAAUCUACACCAUCCUCAUCUGGGAAUGUACCUCCCUGGGGAAGGAUGGCGAGUUCUCUACCUGCUUCACGGAGCUCCAGCGGAACUUCCUGAAGCAGCGCCCAACCAAGCUGAAGAGUCUCAUCCGCCUGGUCAAACACUGGUACCAACUGGUAAGGCAUCGGCCCAGCCACUGUGGGCUUCAUCUGUACAGAGUGUAGACACAGGCCACAGUGUAAGGAGAAGCUGGGGAAGCCACUGCCCCCACAGUAUGCCCUGGAGCUACUCACUGUCUAUGCCUGGGAACAGGGGAAUGGAUGUAAUGAGUUCAACACAGCCCAGGGCUUCCGGACCGUCUUGGAACUGGUCAUCAAUUAUCAGCAUCUUCGAAUCUACUGGACAAAGUAUUAUGACUUUCAACACAAGGAGGUCUCCAAAUACCUGCACAGACAGCUCAGAAAAGCCAGGCCUGUGAUCCUGGACCCAGCUGACCCGACAGGGAAUGUGGCUGGUGGGAACCCAGAGGGCUGGAGGCGGUUGGCUGAAGAGGCUGAUGUGUGGCUGUGGUACCCAUGUUUUAUGAAAAAUGAUGGUUCCCGAGUGAGCUCCUGGGAUGUGCCGACGGUGGUUCCUGUACCUUUUGAGCAGGUGGAGGAGAACUGGACAUGUAUCCUGCUGUGAGCACAGCAGCACCUGCCCAGGAGACUGCUGGUCAGGGGCAUUUGCUGCUCUGCUGCAGGCCCAUGACCCAGUGAGGGAGGGCCCCACCUGGCAUCAGACUCCGUGCUUCUGAUGCCUGCCAGCCAUGUUUGACUCCUGUCCAAUCACAGCCAGCCUUCCUCAACAGAUUCAGAAGGAGAGGAAAGAACACACGCUUGGUGUCCAUCUGUCCACCUGUUGGAAGGUUCUGUCUGACAAAGUCUGAUCAACAAUAAACCACAGCAGGUGCCGUCAUGGUGUGUGAACUCUGAGGAGUGGGCCAUACAAGAACAGUGCAGGUGUGUGAGCGUGUGUGUGCCCAUGCACAUGCGUGUGUGUCUUCACGGUUCAACUAGAUGCAUUUAGUGAGCACUUACUACAUAUGCUACAUGAUUCAGAUGUUCAGCAGUGGUUAGAGCAAAGCCUAACUGCUAGGCUUUUUGAUGCAAGUUGGAUUGGGAUCCUUCCAGGUCUCUUCUUACACAUACACACAAGAGAGGAACCCUUGGUUUCUUCUGCCCAUGACCCCAAGACAAGAUUCUAGCCCUGCCCUAUCUGACACAGAAACAGUUCCCUGGCCACACAUGGACAUGGAACACUGAGACUGUGGCCUGUGCUCUCAGGGUGCCCUUGAGUGGCUACAACAUGCAGGCUGGGGGCCCAUAGGUAUGAUGAAAAUAAAAGGUACCUGGAAUUUUUGACACAUGUAACUUUGAAACAGGGUCAUUGGUAGCAACGAUCAGCUUUAUCACAUUUAGUUAAAUCACAAUGAUUGUGGUUUCCUUUCUGAGACAUGAAUUUGAUGUGACACACGCUGUCGUGGAACUCACAGGAA